UCAGAAGGUGGCAUAGUGGUUUGUGUAUUGAACUAUGACUCCGGAGAUCAGGGUUCAAAUCCCUGCUGAG